UCUGGAGAGAGGCCCGGCAGGGUCCGCCGAAGGGGAAAUCCGGCUUUUUGCGGAAACGCCAGCCGGGUGAUGCUCUCAGGCACCAAGACAGA
rnacentral:ncRNA from 2 species